rnacentral:rRNA from 1 species
UACAGAGGUCCCAAGCGUUGUUCGGAUUCAUUGGGCGUAAAGGGUGCGUAGGCGGCGCGGUAAGUCGGGUGUGAAAUCUCGGGGCUUAACUCCGAAACUGCAUUCGAUACUGCCGUGCUUGAGGACUGGAGAGGAGACUGGAAUUUACGGUGUAGCGGUGAAAUGCGUAGAUAUCAGGAGGAACACCUGCGGCGAAGGCGGGUUGCUGGGCCGACACUGACGCUGAGGCGCGAAAGCGUGGGGAGCGAACAGG